GAUGAACGCUGGCGGCGUGCCUAAUACAUGCAAGUCGAGCGAACGGACGAUACGCUUGCUUCUCUGAUGUUAGCGGCGGACGGGUGAGUAACACGUGGAUACCCUACCUAUCAGCCUGGGAUAACUUCGUGAAACCGGAGCUAAUACCGGAUGAUAUUUUGAUCCGCAUUGUUCAAAAGUGAAAGACGGUCUUGCUGUCACUUAUAGCUGGAUCCGCGCUGCAUUAGCUAGUUGGUAAGGUAACGGCUUACCACGGCAACGAUGCAUAGCCGACCUGCGAGGGUGAUCGGCCACACUGGAACUGAGACACGGUCCAGACUCCUACGGGAGGCAGCAGAAGGGAAUCUUCGGCAAUGGGCGAAAGCCUGACGGAGCAACGCCGCGGGAGGGAGGAAGGUCUUCGGAUCGUAAGACUCUGUUAUUAGGGAAGAACAGAUGUGUAAGUAACUGUGCACAUCGUGACGGUACCUAAUCAGAAAGCCACGGCUAACUACGUG
rnacentral:rRNA from 1 species